AGUUAUCUGCGCCGCAACAAACAAAAAGGACCUUCAAUAUUAUUUGAUUCCGAAAUAGUUUUUACCCUUUUAAAAUAAUUUACCAAAAGCUUCAUGUUGUUGCUGGAUAUUCCUGGUAGGACGACGUGAAUUGGAAGAGUGACUCGUUUGUUGAAGAUGUUCGCCAAAGUAUUUAUACUCGGCGCUUGGGCCGUUUAAUAUUUGCCCAGCGUUUUUACACUUCCGACGCUGGCAAGAGAACCUUGUGAAUUUGUGAUGCUGCUGGACUUGCCAACCUUGUGAAUAACUUGCACCGCGCGGUGGGGAUGAUAUCUUUCAACAUAUCUUCGGAUCCUACUACCCAAUAGCGCCAAACAUCCCAUUUCUUUGCGCAGCUUUUGAAAAAAAGAAAGAAGCGCGCUCGGCAGACCACACCCUGGUCGUGUACCGGUUUGACGCCGGGAAUAACCUUGGCAGUGAAGUGCGUCAGCAACCAUCAAGUCUCGUUUGCAUCGUUAAAGUUUCCUCAUUUUUUGUUUUUGUUUCAAACGAUUUUUCGGCGUCGAGUGACACAAGAAUAAGGAGAUGGACAGACAAUAGACAAAUAAAACAAAAACGCCAAACAAGUGGGAAAAAGUGAAAGGUGGAAGAUCAACUUUUUCAUGUUGCGGAGAGCGCCCGCAGAUAUGAGCAUCCGGGUGGGUUGUUGCCUUGUUGCCCAAUUUUUUCUCAUCAAACAACCAGAGCGUGUUGUGCGUGUUUCAGCAGAAACGUAUACCUGCUAUACGUAUACCUGCUGGGAGAUAUAUAGGAGCAUCAUAAUUUACGCUUUGCAAAACCUUCUUCUUUUGUUCGGCCUUGAAAACUUUGUUGGAUGUUCUCACGUUUCUCCUCCGGUGAUGUUAAAGAUGAAGCUGAAUAAAAUAAUAAAUUAUUCUUGUUCGUGUA